UACGUAGGGUGCGAGCGUUGUCCGGAAUUACUGGGCGUAAAGAGCUUGUAGGUGGUUUGUCGCGUUGUUCGUGAAAUUUCACGGCUUAACUGUGAGCGUGCGGGCGAUACGGGCAGACUAGAGUACUGCAGGGGAGACUGGAAUUCCUGGUGUAGCGGUGGAAUGCGCAGAUAUCAGGAGGAACACCGGUGGCGAAGGCGGGUCUCUGGGCAGUAACUGACGCUGAGAAGCGAAAGCGUGGGGAGCGAACAGG
rnacentral:rRNA from 1 species